CCGAGUGAGGGCCCCCGGGCCCGACCUCCAACCCUUUGAAGUUACCAACUCUGUUGCCUCGGGGGCGAACCGGUCCUCCGCGUCCGGCGCCCCCGGUGGACCACACCACUCUGCGUGAUUGCGUCGGAGUUAGGGGAAUUUGAAUCA
rnacentral:misc_RNA from 1 species